rnacentral:rRNA from 1 species
GCGUGCCGUGGAGGGACGCAUCACGGGUGCGCGAGCCUCGUGGUCCUCCUCCGCAGUCGGAUCCUCGCAUCGAUGAAGAACGUAGCGAAAUGCGAUACUUGGUGUGAAUUGCAGAAUCCCGUGAACCAUCGAGUCUUUGAACGCAAGUUGCGCCCGAAGCCUUCGGGCCGAGGGCACGCCUGCCUGGGCGUCACGCAUCGCGUCGCCCCCCAUCUCCGCUCGAACGAAGCGGUAGUGUGGGGGGCGGAAAUUGGCCUCCCGUACACCCUCUGUGCGGUUGGCCCAAAUUGGAUCCCCCGGCGACGCACGUCGCGACCAGUGGUGGUUGAUUGCUCAACUCGCUUGCUGUCCGUCGUGCCUUAAUGCGUCGUCCGGUCGGGCAUCACGGUCGACCCAAAUUGCGCUUGGCGCUUCCGACCGCGACCCCAGGUCAGGCGGGAUUACCCGCUGAG